rnacentral:rRNA from 1 species
UGCAAGUCGAACGAAGCUUGACGGAUGAUUUCUUCGGAAUGAAACCAGAUAUGACUUAGUGGCGGACGGGUGAGUAACACGUGAGCAACCUGCCUUUCAGAGGGGGAUAACGGCUGGAAACGGUCGCUAAUACCGCAUGACGUGUUCGGAUGGCAUCAUCUGAACAUCAAAGAUUUAUCGCUGAAAGAUGGGCUCGCGUCUGAUUAGAUAGUUGGUGGGGUAACGGCCUACCAAGUCGACGAUCAGUAGCCGGACUGAGAGGUUGAACGGCCACAUUGGGACUGAGAUACGGCCCAGACUCCUACGGGAGGCAGCAGUGGGAAUAUUGCACAAUGGGGGAAGCCCUGAUGCAGCAACGCCGCGUGAAGGAUGACGGUUUUCGGAUUGUAAACUUCUUUUCUUAGUGACGAAGACAGUGACGGUAGCUAAGGAAUAAGCAUCGGCUAACUACGUGCCAGCAGCCGCGGUAAUACGUAGGAUGCAAGCGUUAUCCGGAUUUACUGGGUGUAAAGGGAGCGCAGGCGGGACUGCAAGUUGGAUGUGAAAUACCGUGGCUUAACCACGGAACUGCAUCCAAAACUGUAGUUCUUGAGUGAAGUAGAGGCAAGCGGAAUUCCGAGUGUAGCGGUGAAAUGCGUAGAUAUUCGGAGGAACACCAGUGGCGAAGGCGGCUUGCUGGGCUUUAACUGACGCUGAGGCUCGAAAGUGUGG